AUUGAACGCUGGCGGCAUGCUUUACACAUGCAAGUCGAACGGUAACAGGCCGCAAGGUGCUGACGAGUGGCGAACGGGUGAGUAAUGCAUCGGAACGUGCCCAGUCGUGGGGGAUAACUACUCGAAAGAGUAGCUAAUACCGCAUACGAUCUAUGGAUGAAAGCGGGGGACCGUAAGGCCUCGCGCGAUUGGAGCGGCCGAUGUCAGAUUAGGUAGUUGGUGGGGUAAAGGCUCACCAAGCCAACGAUCUGUAGCUGGUCUGGGAGGACGACCAGCCACACUGGGACUGAGGAACGGCCCAGACUCCUACGGGAGGCAGGCGUGGGGAAUUUUGGACAAUGGGCGCAAGCCUGAUCCAGCAAUGCCGCGUGCAGGAAGAAGGCCUUCGGGUUGUAAACUGCUUUUGUACGGAACGAAACGGCUCUGGUUAAUACCCGGGGCUAAUGACGGUACCGUAAGAAUAAGCACCGGCUAACUACGUG
rnacentral:rRNA from 1 species